rnacentral:lncRNA from 10 species
UGAGAUAGGAGACUUUUUCUAACCAAUGGAAGGUGGCAAAGGUGUGUGAGUCACAUCCUUGAGUAUGUUUUGUUAGAAUGUCACGUUUGUGAUUUUAUUACGUCACUUUAUAUAAGGCUCUGUCUCCCUAGGAUUUUUUGCUUGCUGGCUUGAUGAAUUAAGCCAGGUGGAAAGGUUUUCUUUAAGUGGGCAGCCUCAAGCCAACAGCCAGCAAGGAAUAAAAGCCCUAUAUUCCACAACCUAAGAAAAUAAAUUCUUCCAACAACCUGAGUAAGGUUGGAAGCUGAUUCUUCUCCAGACUCCCAGAUGAGAACACAGGCAGGCUGACUCUUGAGUCCAGCCUUGUGGAACCCAGAGAAGAGGGCCCAGGGGAAGCCAAAGUAUCUGAUGCACUGGAGAAUGAAAACCCGUUCAAAAUCAGGAGUAUAGAGAAGUUUUCUGUAAAAUGGAAAUGAGUAUCAUGAAGUUUUAAAUGAACAGUGUAAAACAGAAGACAUCAGCAUUCAUUAGGUCCCAGACCUCUUUGAGAAUCUGAUGAAAUUCUGGACAACCUCUCCUCCCACAAACAAGAUGUACUAGAAUACCUACACAUAAAAUGUUGCAUUCAAUUUUGGAAUGUGAAGAGAUCAUUUGAAGCCGAUCCAGAGGCCUCUAAGGUAGGACUUGACUGGUGCAGUAUUGGUGGCUGCUGGGUCAGAUGAGCUCCCUGCUAUUCCAAGAAACAAUACAUGUUUGCAGCCACUAAGAUUUGAGGACUUUUGUUAUUACUGCCUAUCCUGACAGACUCAGGUGCUACAACUAUUUAAGGGCAGACCGGAUCUCACUCUGGCACCUAGACUGGAGGGUACUGGCAUGAACUCCUGGGCUCAGAUGUCCUCCCACCUCCACCUUCUGAGUAGCCGGAAUUACAGGAAUGAACCAUCAUGCUCAGGUUUCAAGCUCCCUGAAGAUGAAGGCUGAAUCCUACACCUCGCUUGUAUCCUCCAUGGCUCAUUGAACAAGUGCUAGCUAGCUACAUGGAGACUGCUCAAUAAAUAUUGAAUAACUCAC